rnacentral:tRNA from 1 species
GGGGAUGUACUUCAGUAGUAGAGCAGAUGCUUUGCAUGGAUGAGGCCCAGAGUUGAAUCCCUGGCAUCUCCA